rnacentral:lncRNA from 1 species
GGCGCAGGGCUUUCCCAUCUCUGCCCACCGCGGGCGGCCGGGAAGCAAGGCCCGUGUCGUGGCCCCACCACCGGCGCCUCCUGGGGCCGCAGGGGCUACCCUCGGACCCCAGGACCCCUCCCCAGGGCACCGGUACGGGAAGGCUGCCCCGUCCCACCCCCGUCCUCCGAGCCCACAGGAACUGGGCUCAAACCCUGGCCCUCGCGUGACCUUGGCAGCGUCCCGGACCCCGGGCUUCGGUUUCCUGGUCCUCGAGACCCCGAGGCGGGAGGCCUCGCAGGCGGAGCAGGAAGCAGAGCUUCCUGGGGAGCCCGUGGCCUGGGCCGGACUUCCGGGCGUCCACCCGGCGGCUCUACGGGGCGCGAGGCCGCGGCGGGGCGCUGGGGCAGCCGACCCUCGCCCGGGGCUCCGCCCCCGCCGCGCUCCCCUCUCACGGCCGGCUCUCGGCUCCUAGCCCCCGCCCCGCCCCGCCCCGACCCCCCCGCAGCCUCGACCCCGGCCCGCUCUUGGCAGCCUUCCACCCAGCCCCGGCCUCGACCCGGCCUCAGCUGGACCCCCAGCCCAGCCCAGCCUCGACCCCCGGCCCAGUCCUCGACACCCGCACUGCCUCGUUCCUCAUCCCAGCCCCGACCUCGGACUCGACUCGAGCCCGCCCCCGUCUCCAUCCCCGGCCCAGCCCGCCGCGCCCGCCCCGCCUCGGCCCCCGGCCCCCGGCCCCCGGCCCCCGGCCCCCGCCCCCGGCCCCGGCCUCGGGCCUCGCCACCCCGGCCUCACCCCGGCCCCCGCCCCGCCCGGCCUCACAUGGCCCUCACCGCCCCGCCGCCACGGCGGUGGGCAGGGCCUCGCGGGGCCGGGACCGCCCCCGCCACCCAGCCCCGGCCUCGACCCCGGCCCCGGCCCGCCGCCUCACCCUCGGCGGCCGCGGCGAGGCUACUGCUCCGAGCCAGGCGUUGGUUUCGCUCCCACAAGAUGGCGGCUCUGACGGCGGCCACGUCAGUGCCUCCUGCCGCGGGGGACGCUGGGGAACGGGGCGGGCCUGCCUGCGGCUCCGCCCACUCCCCGCCGCAGCGCGCACGCGCAGACUCUGGGCAGGAGCGGGCGCGCGGGGACAGGGGCUGCGCCCCGCCCCGGGCCGCCCCGGUCCCGCCACCGCGCGGGCGUACUUGCUUUCCCUGGCCCGGGCGGAGUCAGCCCGCGCCCGCGCCCGCGCCCGCGCCCCGCUUUUUCCCGACCCCGGGUGUCUCAAACCCACCUACUGGUGUAGAUGAAGGGACCGAGGUGGGCAAGGGCCCUGCGGCCGUGGCGCACGAAAGGGCGCCUGUGCCCUCCCUAACCUAG